CAUGGCAGGAGGAGGCCAUCCAGCUCCCUGUGCCACAGGUAGGCCAUCAGGCUACAGCACUGUUCCUCUGCUCCAAACUGCCCCUGGGAUGCUGGAACAACGUGACCUUGAAACACGACCAUUGAUACAUCCUGCGGCCCAAGGGAUAUCAAAGCACAUGGCCAAAGAGAGCCCUCAGAGACCCUCAGAGCAUUUUACUUCACCCUUAAAAUGGAGCAUAGAUUCUCUCCAUGAAGAAAGAAAUGAAAUAAAAGCAGAGACAGGGCUAUACCUUGAAACACAGGCACCUGGGGACUGCUGCCACCUUCUGCAGCUGUGUCUGCACACUUACAGGUUUAUUACUGCUUUCCUGCCUUUUGAAAUGUGACGCUGCAAUGCUUGGGGCUGGGAAAACCACUUUGUGAUUGCAUUUAAACAUUUUAAAUGUACCCUGUAUGCGUCCAAUCUCCCACGAGGCACAUGUAAUGUGAAAGAGCCUUCUGAGGAGUGAGAGGCAGAGCAGUUAUCUCAGCAUUUUGCACGUCUUGUUCAAUUUGUACUUAAUGAGAGUGAGAGUGCUUUUUCACCGUUUCUGUUCUUUAGACCAAUUCAUCUGUUCAUCAGUGGAUGCGGGCGUAAGUGCACAAAGGUAUUUGCAUGUCAGUGAGGAUUUAAAAAAAUGCCUGAGCUACAGUGAGCCAUCAUAUCUUGCAGUUAAAUUCCGUGUCCCUGAUGGAUUUCCCCACGCUGUUGCUAGGAGAUGAAGGUACUGCCUAACAAAGGAUAUAUUGACAAAAAAUUUUCCAGAACGAAUCUAUCUUGUUACAGUAAAUACACUCUCACAUAAAAAGGAUAUUGCAGGAUUUGUUUCCCCAGUGGUGGCAUGGGCAAAAUUGCACACACCAAGUUAAGCUCAGAGAUGAUCCCACAGCUGGACAGAAAAAUAUGAGUGAGGAAGGACACAGCACAGCAAGUCUGCAGCUGCUUGAUUUUCAACUCUCAUUAUCAGUCCCCUUUUCUGUGCAGGCUUGAAUCAGCAUGCAGUAAGUUGGUCAAAUGCAGCUGAACUCCGUGGCCCCUUAACUCUUCCCACAGGGCAUCAUGCUUACCAGUCAGGCAACAGAGAGGAAUCCAUGUCUCCAUCAGCAAAGGGCAGGUAGCGCUGGGAGGCUCCAGCUGCAAAGCAAAGCAGCAACAGUGAGAUCUGGAGGUGAGAUGGAAAAUUGGGCCCUUCCUAACGCUUGUAUUUGACCUAGAAGUAAAGCUAAUUGUGAUUUAAAAUCCAGGUGCCCUUAUUUGUCCUUUGCUGAGGGCAAGAUUUGAGACUAGAAAGACUAAAUUUAGGUUCUAAACCCCCCAUUUAGGUGCUGAAAUAAGCCGCUUUCCUAGAACCUGCUGGCUGAUUACUAGCAGCAAAGAUCGAGCUACUAAUCUUGGUGGCUAAAACGGAUUUAGGAGCCUAACAUUAGACAUUUGAAGCAAGCUGACAUUGAGUUUUAGCCCAUUCCUGAUUUAUAUGCUUUUAUUUUUGCGGAUUUUUUUUCAAAGUGCAAGCACUGGACUGCAUGGUUUUCCAUAUGUCCUGUCUUAUGAGCAACUGGUUGCAAAAUGUUUGCCCUUGAAUAUCUACAGCCCAAGCUGCAAAGUUACACUGCAGCGUUUGGAAUGUGUGGGCUGGGGGCUGCCAACAGCUCUGUCCACUUCCACUGACCAAGGAAAAGUAUCUGGCAAAAAAAAAAAAAAAAAAAAGAAGAAAAAAAAAGAAGACAAAAGGUGACAAAUCAAACCGAGGGAGAUUUUCCACAACUGAAGUAAUUUUCCAUGGUCAUUGGAGAAAGAACAUCAGCCAGCUACAAAUGUGUGAGAACCAUCUUCGUAUUUCAUUCCCGGCCAACUAGUUCUCUUGUUGUUUUUACGGUCUCUGAGAGAGUAAUGUAGCCUGUGAGACCUUGGUUGUGUAGGUUUGCCAGAUACAGUUGGAACCUACUCCAGGUAGCCAUAUAUUGCGUGUACCAGAAGUGAGGAAAAACGUACUUGUUAAUAGUGCAGGCACAAAGGGGAGAAAUUAAUUUUGAACGUAUGAAGAUGCAGCAGAGGUGGGGGAGGAACAAACAACUGAAAUAGUGAUCCUUUUUGCAAGGAAAUGGAAGGCAUGUCAGAACUAUUGAGACCUGGGAAACAAAAUGUUAAAUGUCUUGCAGCAUUGAAAGCAAGACAAAAGAAAAUGUGUUUAGCCAAAUCCUUGGCUCUGUUGCACUACAGAAGGUUAAGUGUAAGUGCCUUCUCUUUUAAUUAAUGUGACAGGUCUAUUUGUAAU